UGGCUUAAUUUGACUCAACGCGGGAAAUCUUACCGGGUCCGGACACACUGAGGAUUGACAGGCAAUAUCUCAUGUUAACGGUAAGUUUACUUACCGCUUAACAUCGAGUGUUAAAUAUGCUAGUCCUUUCAUGAUUAUGUGAUAGGUGGUGCAUGGCCGUUCUUAGUUCGUGGAGUGAUCUGUCUGCUUAAUUGCGUUUCACUAAGGGCCCAUAAAUUCAAGGUAUGUUAGCUCUCGUCGCUCUAUGGACCCCUUAACUCCAAUAUUCUUAUUGUGUUAAGCGCGUGUCUUUAUUUUAAGAGUUUUAAGACACUGCGCAUGCUGUUGGGCUCUGAAAGCAACGAACGUGACCGCAACGUCUUGUUGCCUUAAACUAGCGUAUAUUGCAAUUUAUUGUAAUAUCGCUUACAGAGGCUAUUUAAAACUAGACGGACCGCUGUUUCUUUCUUAAACCAGAGGAA
rnacentral:rRNA from 1 species